GCUGCCAGAGCCCCUCCGCACAUUUCCCCCCGCACCCCCCGCCACUUACGUCACGCAGCUUCGCUCCGCCCGCCUGCCCGCCUGCCCGCCUGCCGGGUCCUGUAGGAGGACGAGGUGCGACGUGCGGAGAAUACUGCGGGAGGCUGCGCGCCGAGCUCGCGGUAUGCAUUCCACCAGGAAAACGAAGCUGCUCCUGGAGGCUCAGCUGAAUAGUCAUCUCCAGUUGAGGCAAGUCAGCAAGUGGUUGUGUCUCUGUAUGCGCUUGAACUUGGAUGACCAGAGACAGUGGAACCCUCUUCUGUGCACUGAAUAGGAGGCCCACCCCGGAAGAGUACUGGGCCCGUCCACCUCAAGUACACUUGACUUUAGUGCCGCUGGCUGGGUGGGAUCUGAAUGUACUUAUCCACUUUGAUGGGAGAAAAGGUAUCAUUUAAACAAUUCUUGAAAAUUUCAUCUGGUUCCUGUAUUCCUUCUCUGCCUUUCCCACCUCCAAAGAGCUACCACCUGUGCUCAACAGCCCAAGUUCCCAUCCCGAUUGCCUCCUGCCUCUUUGGCUCCCCAGAGUGGCGUCUCUGCCAAGGUUGCUGUUACCCACAUGGGGCCAGCUCUCCUGCAGCAGGGUCAGUAACUAAGUAACAAAACCUUUAGCCAAAAAAAUAGAGAGGUUGGGAAGCAGAUAACCUCCCCACUGGCUUGUUUGAUAUUUUACAGCAAUUAAAUAACACUUUUUCCCUUUUCAACACUUAUCAGAGGAACAACAGACAGCAGGAAAUUAAGAACAGGGCAGGACAAAGGGCCAGGACAGUGCUCAGCUCCUAACCCAGGAGGUGUACUCUGCUCUUGCUUUGAGAAGUUCUCAGCCUGGGAGCUCCGCUGGGAAGACAUCAGACUCCCAAGUAGGUCAUUACGUCUUGUGGGUUAAUAAAUUAAAUGGGAGAAAUUGUUGCUUUGCAAUCAAUUUGGUGGAAGUAAAUAUUGCAAGUGAGCCUAGAAGAAAGUGAAAGAGCCCUGGGAACCUGCUUGGAAGGGUUAGAUGCCAGUCCACGCACCCAGUGUGGCUGUUCCUGCCUCGGAUGAGAUCCUCUGUUUGUGUCGAUGGAGAAAGAGCAGUGCUGCUGUUGUCCGGUGUGUUGACUGUACAGAGGGAGGGAAAGUGUUGUGCGUGACGGCCACAUCACCUGGGCCUCCUGGAACAGUCCUGUUUUCAGCUGUUCUGUUCCUUGUCUCCCUACAAGCCAUCUGCAUUUUACCGAAA